UACAGAGGCCUCGAGCGUUAGGCGGAAUCACUGGGCUUAAAGCGUGUGUAGGCGGACUUCUAAGUACCUUGUGAAAUCCCACGGCUUACCCGUGGAACGGCUGGGUAUACUGGGAGUCUUGAGCCACCUAGGGGCGAGUGGAACAAAUGGUGGAGCGGUGAAAUGCGCAGAUAUCAGGAGGAACACCAAUGGCGAAGGCAGCUCGCUGGGACGGUACUGACGCUGAGACGCGAAAGCGUGGGGAGCAAACAGG
rnacentral:rRNA from 1 species